GGGUUCUGUCUUUUCGGCCAGCACGCCGGAUCCUGUUGAAGCGCUUCAUCUCUUGAAUGGAGGGAGGUCUUCUGUGAGGAGUCGGGAUGGCUCUGAAGCAGUUAUCUGCUGUGGGGUCGUGAAUGCAAACGGAUCUCAGACUCUUUUGUGAUCUUUCAAAAAUCCCAAACUAGCUGCAUGCUGGUGAAGAGUUACUGUCAAGGUGCUGGUUUCAUUUUUAAUCUGAAAUUAUUUGUCCCUGUCAUAAUCCCUACAAUAAAUGGGAUUACACUAUUAAAUGGUAAGUUGCUUAUGUUACAGUUGGUAAGAAAUGGCCGUGGACCUCUAGUUCUGUUUGGGUAGCGUGUUUGCAGAGUUCUUUGGUCUCAGAGGUCUCAGAGGAGAGUCCUGUCAUCUACAACAAGUAGGGGGAACCCUUGGGGCCGCCUCUGAAUGUCCCAGACAGUCCAGACCCAGCGGGAAACAGAUAGGGAAUUUGGUGCUUCCAAUAUGCGUGUAAUCAAAAUACCCACUUC
rnacentral:lncRNA from 1 species